AAGUCGUAACAAGGUUUCCGUAGGUGAACCUGCGGAAGGAUCAUCAAUAAUCCAAAUAAUUAAUGACCUAAAAAAUCAUUAAUUUAACCUUCUUGUGAACUGUUUAAUGUCUUUUUGAUUGGGAGUUAAAUUUUGUAAUAUCUUUUUGAAUAGAGCAAAACUCCCAAUUGAACAUUUUUAUAACAAACUAUUUUAUUUUUUUCAAGUUGAUUAUUUUAUACAGAUUAAACUGUACUAAUAUAAAUACAACUUAUAGCGAUGGAUCUCUUGGUUCUG
rnacentral:misc_RNA from 1 species